UACGUAGGGGGCAAGCGUUGUCCGGAUUUAUUGGGCGUAAAGAGCGUGUAGGCGGUCAGGUAGGUCCGUUGUGAAAACUCGAGGCUCAACCUCGAGACGCCGAUGGAAACCAUCUGACUAGAGUCCGGAAGAGGAGAGUGGAGUUCCUGGUGUAGCGGUGAAAUGCGCAGAUAUCAGGAAGAACACCCGUGGCUAAGGCGGCUCUCUAGUACGGUACUGACGCUGAGACGCGAAAGCGUGGGGAGCGAACAGG
rnacentral:rRNA from 1 species